GACGAACGCUGGCGGCGUGCCUAAUACAUGCAAGUAGAACGCUGAAGGAGGAGCUUGCUUCUCUGGAUGAGUUGCGAACGGGUGAGUAACGCGUAGGUAACCUGCCUGGUAGCGGGGGAUAACUAUUGGAAACGAUAGCUAAUACCGCAUAAGAGUAGAUGUUGCAUGACAUUUGCUUAAAAGUUGCACUUGCAUCACUACCAGAUGGACCUGCGUUGUAUUAGCUAGUUGGUGGGGUAACGGCUCACCAAGGCGACGAUACAUAGCCGACCUGAGAGGGGGAACGGCCACACUGGGACUGAGACACGGCCCAGACUCCUAAGGGAGGGAGCAGUAGGGAAUCUUCGGCAAUGGACGGAAGUCUGACCGAGCAACGCCGCGUGAGUGAAGAAGGGUUUCGGAUCGGAAAGCUCUGUUGUAAGAGAAGAAAGAGUGUGAGAGUGGAAAGUUCACACUGUGACGGUAUCUUACCAGAAAGGGACGGCUAACUACGUG
rnacentral:rRNA from 1 species